rnacentral:rRNA from 1 species
UACGGAGGGUCCAAGCGUUAUCCGGAUUUAUUGGGUUUAAAGGGUUCGUAGGCGGAAUAAUAAGUCAGUGGUGAAAGCCCGCAGCUCAACUGCGGAACUGCCAUUGAUACUGUUAUUCUUGAGUACACUUGAAGUAGGCGGAAUGUGUCAUGUAGCGGUGAAAUGCUUAGAUAUGACACAGAACACCGAUUGCGAAGGCA